rnacentral:rRNA from 1 species
GAUGAACGCUGGCGGCGUGCCUAAUACAUGCAAGUCGAGCGAACGGACGAGAAGCUUGCUUCUCUGAUGUUAGCGGCGGACGGGUGAGUAACACGUGGAUAACCUACCUAUAAGACUGGGAUAACUUCGGGAAACCGGAGCUAAUACCGGAUGAUAUUUUGAACCGCAUGGUUCAAAAGUGAAAGACGGUCUUGCUGUCACUUAUAGAUGGAUCCGCGCUGCAUUAGCUAGUUGGUAAGGUAACGGCUUACCAAGGCAACGAUGCAUAGCCGACCUGAGAGGGUGAUCGGCCACACUGGAACUGAGACACGGUCCAGACUCCUACGGGAGGCAGCAGUAGGGAAUCUUCCGCAAUGGGCGAAAGCCUGACGGAGCAACGCCGCGUGAGUGAUGAAGGUCUUCGGAUCGUAAAACUCUGUUAUUAGGGAAGAACAUAUGUGUAAGUAACUGUGCACAUCUUGACGGUACCUAAUCAGAAAGCCACGGCUAACUACGUGCCAGCAGCCGCGGUAAUACGUAGGUGGCAAGCGUUAUCCGGAAUUAUUGGGCGUAAAGCGCGCGUAGGCGGUUUUUUAAGUCUGAUGUGAAAGCCCACGGCUCAACCGUGGAGGGUCAUUGGAAACUGGAAAACUUGAGUGCAGAAGAGGAAAGUGGAAUUCCAUGUGUAGCGGUGAAAUGCGCAGAGAUAUGGAGGAACACCAGUGGCGAAGGCGACUUUCUGGUCUGUAACUGACGCUGAUGUGCGAAAGCGUGGGGAUCAAACAGGAUUAGAUACCCUGGUAGUCCACGCCGUAAACGAUGAGUGCUAAGUGUUAGGGGGUUUCCGCCCCUUAGUGCUGCAGCUAACGCAUUAAGCACUCCGCCUGGGGAGUACGACCGCACGGUUGAAACUCAAAGGAAUUGACGGGGACCCGCACAAGCGGUGGAGCAUGUGGUUUAAUUCGAAGCAACGCGAAGAACCUUACCAAAUCUUGACAUCCUUUGACAACUCUAGAGAUAGAGCCUUCCCCUUCGGGGGACAAAGUGACAGGUGGUGCAUGGUUGUCGUCAGCUCGUGUCGUGAGAUGUUGGGUUAAGUCCCGCAACGAGCGCAACCCUUAAGCUUAGUUGCCAUCAUUAAGUUGGGCACUCUAAGUUGACUGCCGGUGACAAACCGGAGGAAGGUGGGGAUGACGUCAAAUCAUCAUGCCCCUUAUGAUUUGGGCUACACACGUGCUACAAUGGACAAUACAAAGGGCAGCGAAACCGCGAGGUCAAGCAAAUCCCAUAAAGUUGUUCUCAGUUCGGAUUGUAGUCUGCAACUCGACUACAUGAAGCUGGAAUCGCUAGUAAUCGUAGAUCAGCAUGCUACGGUGAAUACGUUCCCGGGUCU